rnacentral:lncRNA from 1 species
UAAAAAAAAAGGCAGAAGAGCAGAUCAUAGCUGACACCACUCACCAUAAUGCAGAUGGUGGAAGAAAAUAUGUUAUGAUUUCGGUCUCUGCAGGAAAAUUGGGAAAGAUGUAAUCUUCCUGCUUCAGAAGUAAAAGGAAGACAGUCCCGUAGUUGAUCUGGUACCUUGCAGUAUUUCUACUUACUUUUUACAGGUUUGUUUUUUAUAAUCAGGUGGGUAAUGAUGGCUAGAGUCAAAUUCUUGUAUGCUUACAAUAAAACAGUAUUGCCUGAGAAGUCUCAUUCAUUUCCAGUGGCACUAGUCAACUGCUCCCCAUGCCAGUGAGAGCUCUAAUGUGAUUUAAAAGGAAUUUCAAACAAUUGCAAUGACCAGUUUUUUGAUUAGGGUAUUCCCUCCCCUUGACAGCUUUUUAAUGACAGCUAAAAAAAUACUGUUCCUGUUCCUGUUUUGCAGGGGGAAUUACCCAAGAAAACCAUAUAAAGAAGGACAACCAUGCAGUAGAUGCAGUAACGAGAAGUGUGUAGACAGGCUCUGUGAAAAUAUGGAACGUGAGAAGUUGAUAAGUUAUGCCAGCUGGUAUCCAGACUGGGAUACACAGCCCCAGCCACCGCAGCCCCGUCCCCCCAGGCCUCCCAUGCCAUCACACGUCCCACCUGCUGAGCAUCCACAGCCCUCUUGUGACCAAUACUGCCUUAGUGUUUUAAUUUUAAGGCCACUGUUUCUUGUAUUGAGUGUUGGUGCUGUACUUCUAGUACAACAGCAAUUUCCACACACUUUUUUUUACAAGUAAUGGCCAAUUAAGAGACUGAUUGUGAUCCUACUGUUGUAUUACUCUCACACAUUGGGCACGUGUUUAAAUAAAAAACACAUUUGAUCAUCUUUCA